CACCAGCGCCACAAGUGGCAACCGCUUUUAUUGGGCCUAAAGCGUCCGUAGCCGGUUCAGUAAAUUUUCUGUGAAAUCGUUGGGCUUAACCUAACGUCGUGCAGGAAAGACUACUGGACUAGGGACCGGGAGGCGUCAGAGGUAUUCCUGAGGGAGCGGUAAAAUGCUAUAAUCUCAGGAGGACCACCAAUGGCGAAGGCAUCUGACGAGAACGGAUCCGACGGUCAGGGACGAAAGCUAGGGGAGCAAACCGGAUUAGAUACCCCCGUA
rnacentral:rRNA from 1 species